AGCGAACGCUGGCGGUAGGCCUAACACAUGCAAGUCGAACGACCCUUUCGGGGUUAGUGGCGGUUGGGUGAGUAACACGUGGGACCGUGCCUUUAGGUUCGGAAUUAUUCAGGGUAAUUUGUGCUAAUAUCGAAUGUGCUCUUCGGGGGACAGAUUUAUCGUCCUUAGAGCGGCCCGCGUCUGAUUAACUAGUUGGUUUUGGUUAUGGCUCACCAAGGUGACAAUCAGUAGCUGGUCUGAGAGGAUGAUCAGCCACAUUGGCACUGAGACACGGCCCAAACUCCUACAGGAUGCAGCAGUGGGGAAUCUUGCGCAAUGGGCUAAAGCCUGACGCAGCCAUGCCGCGUGAAUGAUGAAGGUGUUAGAAUAGUAAAAUUCUUUCACCGGCCACGAUAAUGACGGUACCCGAAGAAGAAGCCCCGGCUAACUUCGUG
rnacentral:rRNA from 1 species